CCGAAGUGGAGAAAGGUUCCAUGUGAACAGCAAUUGGACAUGGGUUAGUCGGUCCUAAGAGAUAGGGGAACUCCGUUUCAAGGGUCUCAUCUCGAGACCGCCUAUCGAAAGGGAACCGGGUUAAUAUUCCCGGACCAGCGUGUGGAUAAUGCAUGGCAACAUAAGCGAACUUCACGACGGCGGCGGGAGCCCUGGGAAGAGUUGUCUUUUCUUCUUGACAGUGUGCGCCUUUACCGUGGAAUCGGGUUAACCGGAGAUACGGUA
rnacentral:rRNA from 13 species